rnacentral:rRNA from 1 species
AGGAUAAACGCUGGCGGCGUGCCUAACACAUGCAAGUCGAACGCGCUUUCGGGCUUCGGUGCGAGAGCGAGUGGCGGACGGGUGAGUAACACAUGGGUACCUACCUUGGAGUGAGGGAUACCGGCGAGAAAUCGCCGACAAUACCGCAUAGGCUUCUUCACGAGGGAAGCAAAGUGACGCGAGUCACGCUUUGAGAUGGGCCUGUGGCCGAUUAGCUAGUUGGGGGGGUAACGGCUUCCCAAGGCGACGAUCGGUAGCUGGUCUGAGAGGACGAUCAGCCACACUGGGAUUGAGAACGGCCCAGACUCCUACGGGGGGCAGCAGUGAGGAAUUUUCCGCAAUGGAGGCAACUCUGACGGAGCAACGCCGCGUGCAGGAGGAAGGUUUUCGGAUCGUAAACUGCUUUUCUCGGGGACGAGCAAGGACGGUACCCGAGGAAGAAGCCCCGGCUAACUACGUGCCAGCAGCCGC